rfam:Nicotiana attenuata strain TT chromosome 6, whole genome shotgun sequence.
AUACCACGAUGUGGACAUGUAACCAGCAGACCCUUGAAUCUUUCCCACGUUUCUUGCAACAUCUCUGCUGGUUUCUGUCUGAAGCUCAAUAUCUCAUCAAUUUGCU